UUGGCCAUGGCCCUUUUUCCUAAAGCCUGGUCCCCUCUCAUCUCUUCGACUUGCUACUACAAGAGUGAGGGUCUCUAAGAUCUUAACCUAAAAGCAUCCAUCCCAAGGUUGAGUAUCAGCUAAGCUGUUUAAGGUGCCCAACAUUUCCGACUAGUUCCUCAAGCCCAUUGUCGACUAUCUCCAAGUUUUUUCCCAUCACGUCAAACUUUUGUUGCCAUACCUAGCGACGAACUCCACUUGUAUCAGAUGUGCCUCAACUGCGGCCAACACAUCGCGGGACCUCUCCUUGCUAGGUUGGCUAGGUCCAACACCCUCAUGCCCAUGUGCUGGAUUGCUUUUAGUCACCUCCAGUGCCUUAGUGCUCCUCUCAAUCCGCAAGUGUUACGUUUCCAUUCAUAGCCACCAUCUGAAUACCGCUUGUUAUGGCCUAACUCCUAAGUGCUUCCCCCAAGAUUAGAGUCAUUAGACCGUGUGGCAGUCAACUCACAACUCCUUUUUGGACAAGUCGACGCUAACCACCCAAGUGUAAACUAGCUACUUGGAAGAGGAGAGAGUGCGCUAGAGUCGAAGGCAAGACUACCUGUAUUGCAAAGCACAAGAAAACUUACAACUUCUGUGGUUGAUUACAAAUGAGGAGCACUCCUUGUAUAGACUAAUCUACCAGUCUAUCAUCUCUCUUUGCUCAAAAUCCCAGCAGCAAUUGCUACAAAAAUUGAGAAAAUUCAGCGGCAGUUCUACGGGGCGCUGCUUUAGAUAAAAAGAAUUUCCACUUGGAGAAAUGGAAGUCCAAAAGGCAAAGGAAGCACCUUCCUUUGCCUUUUGGACUUCCUUAGGCAUUGGCAAGAUUAGGGAGAAUUGUAGAUGCUUGCUCGGUGAAUGUUGGUGGUGCUUCUGUAUGGAAAGAGAUGUUUUAUGGCGUAAAGUGUCAUCAUGGAGAAAAAUGGUACGGCAAAUAGAUGUUGGGACUUGGGAUGCAGGAACCCCCAUAAGAUCUCAGGUUUCCAAAAUCUGGAAGGAUAUAGUUGGCGUGGGAGACGGUUCGAAAACAUGGGAGAAAGUAUUGCGAAUGGAUCCCCUAAAGGUUUCUUCAAGAGCUCUAGAGGACUGCGAUAGGGAGACCCGCUUUCCCCGUUCCUCUUCCUAGUGGUUGGGGAAGCCCCCAUCCAAAAUGUUGAUCAAAGGUCAAGAUGAAGACAUUAUCUCUGGUGUCUCUGUGGAAGGAAUGGACAGGCCGAUUUCUCAUGUGCAGUUCACGGAUGAUACUCUUAUAUUUUGCAAAGCAGAUCAUGAAAAAGUUAGCAAUUUGCGAACCAUCAUUCUGUGUUUUGAGCAGUCUCGGGUCUUAGAGUGAAUAUUUCUAAAUCCAAGAUGAUUGGGGUGAACAUGAAGGAAGAAGAGGUCAGGUCCUAUGUUGAGUAUUUCGAUUGUUCAGUGGGUUGUCUUCCGACCACUUACAUUGGCCUUCCACUUAGUAUAGGGAAGCCCUCGAAAUCCUUAUGGGAUAAGAUAAUUGCCAGAUUUGAGAAGUACCUAGCUAGAUGGAAGUGUAGAUACUUAUCUCUAGGUGGUCGAAUCACUUUAAUCAAGGCAGCUCUUUCAAACCUCCCUCUAUACUUCAUGUCGAUGUUCAUAUGCCUGUCUUCGACUCUGGCAUCUCUAGAUAAGCUUAGAAGAGAUUUCCUAUGGCAUGGCAAGGAAGAGAAGAAAAAAUUUCACUUGGUUGAGUGGAAAGAGGUGUGCAAGCAUAUUCAAGAAGGCAGGACUGGUAUAAAAACCCUAAAGAGCGUGAAUCGGGCCCUCUUAGGAAAAUGGACCUGGAGACUAGGGACGGAGGACGGGACUUUAUGGAAUACCUUAGUCAAGAAUAAAUAUGGGAGAUCAGAGGAUGGUUGGUGGACAAAGGAUUCCUCAAACUACAGAGCUUCUUCGAUAUGGAAAGGGGUGUUAUCCAUAAAGAAGGUCCUGAAAAGGAUAGGAAUUGCUAUAGGGAAAGGGGAUAAUACUUAAUUUUGGUAUGAUAGUUGGGUGGGCGAUACUACAUUGAAAGAUGAAUUUCCCCACAUUUUCCGUAUUGCCUCUAAUCUGGCCAGUUUGGUAAUUGAUUGCUAUUCCAUCCUUAGGGAGGAUGUGGUGUGGGGUCCAGAAUGUAGAAGAAAUCUCCAUGACUAUGAGGUUGAAGAAUAUAUAGCCCUUCUUAACCGCAUCCAGGACGUCAAGUUGGACUAGUCAAGUGCGGACAGAAUUGUUUGGAAAAGCGACAAAUCUAGAGUAUUCUCAGUCAAAUCUUUCUAUAGGAGUAUGGAGGGGGAUCCCUCGAGAGGAGAAGAGACCCAUACUAAUCAUGUUUGGAAAUAUAAAGCUUCUCCUAAGAUUGUGGCUUUCAGCUGGCUGGUUGGUAAAACGAAAGUCCUUACAGUGGAUAACUUGAGAAAAAGGGGCAUGAUUAUCACUAGUGUUUGUCUAUGCUGCAUGGCGAGCGAAGAAUCGGUGGACCAUCUCUUUGUCCAUUGUCUCUGUAUCACUCGGAUCUGGUCAGAUUUCUUAUCCCGAUUUGAUAUCGGUUGGGCCAUUCCAAAUUCUGCUGGUAAUCUCCGUAAAGCAUGGCAUGGUCCAAGAUUGGGUAUUCAGAGGAACGAGUUAUGGAGAAUGGCCCUUCUCGCUAUCUAGUGGACAGUGUGGGAAGAAAGAAAUGGAAGAUGCUUCAAUGGUAUUUCUAAUCCGUCUGAUUCCAUUGCUUUUAGAGCAAGGAGAUUGUUAGUUGAGUGGGCCUCUAAUGCAGAUAAUUUAAAGGGCUGUAAUCUGCAGUUUUUAGGAGUGUAGCUUGCCCGCUAUAUCAGCGGCUGUCUUAUCUCUGUAAUUUUUCCUUUUUAAUAUAAACCGUGAUCUUUCAAAAAAAAAGAAAGUAUUGCGGGAAGGUUUUAAGUUUUCUGUCAACUACAGUGAUUCCACCUAUUUUUGGGAAGAUGUAUGGUUGGAUCAUUGUUCCCUGGCAGACAGAUUCCCUAAUCUCUAUAGAUUGGUUCGUGAGAGACACAUGUUAGUAAAGGACUGUGACAUAUGUUGGGCGAAACAUAUCACGGAACAGUCCUUGGAAGAAAUUUCAAGAACAAGGAAAUGGAAGGCCUUCAGGCUUCGUUAUGGAUGCUGAACGGGGUUUGACUCUCGCCUUCAUUAGCAUAUGAAAUAAUUUGGAAAUGCAUGAAGUCUGGAAAAAUUUCAGUACAAUCCUUUUCUUUUCAUAUGAUGAAGCUAAAUCCCAGUGUGCUGCCCGCUGUGGAAACCAGCUGCCCCUAUGAGAGUCUUAGAGCCUGUUUGGCGCAUGGGAUUAACUGGGAUUAGGUGGGAUGGAAUUGCUUUAGUGCAAUGAUUACCUGGUGUCAGGUAUUGUCUUGAAAUCCCUCAUUUCAAAGGAUAUUGCACUCCAUGUAUGGAAUGUAAAUGUUGAAAAUGUAAAUCCUAGAGUUUACAGAAAUCACGUUUGGAUUAAACCAUGGAAGUAGCAGAAAUCCAACAUCAGUGGAAGCACACUGUUUGGAAAUACCACACACCACCAAACAUGCUAGUGUGUUGACGUCAACAAGUGUUGUGGAACCCACUGUGAUGUAACUGUUAUAUCCGCACCAUCCAUCCAUUUUGCGAAGUCAUUUUAUGGCACGGGCCCGAAAAAUGAGUCAAAUCCAGAGCUUACAUGAACCACACCACAGAAAGCUGUGGGGACAAUGACGCCCACCGUUGAAACCUUCCUUGAGCCCACUGUGAUGGUUAUUUGCCAUCCAACCUGUUCAUAAGGUCACACAGACCUGGAUGAAGGGAAAACACAAAUAUCAGCUUGAUCUAAAACUUCUGUGGCCCCCAGGAAAUUUUCAAUGGUAGGUUUUCAAUUCCCAUUAAUUUCUGUGGUGUGUUCCACUUGAGCUUUGGAUCUGCUUGAUUUUUGGGCCCAUGCCCUAAAAUGAUCUCGAAAAAUGGAUGGAUGGUGUGGAUAUAGCCCAUACAUCAUGGUGGGACCCACAUAACUUGCUGACAUCAACACCGCCAUUUGCUGGAUUCGAACAGUGCAGGAGUGGGAUUCCUCAUAUCCUUUUCAGCACAAGGCACAUUUUCCAAAGCAUAUAAAGCUAAUACCUGUUGGAGAUAGCAAACAGCGUGUGGGGUUUAAAUGGUGGGAUUUUCAAUUCAAUCCCACCUAAUCCCAGUUAAUCCCAUGCGCUAAACAGGCCCUUAGUCUUAUGAACAGAUGUGUUAUGUGUAAAGUUGAUGCAGACCAAACGAGAAUGCAUACCACACAGAACAGUUAAGAAUCUUCUGCUCACCAUGGUAUUAAAAAACGGUUACGUAAUGGCCGUCACUUUAUGGUAAGGGUGAGACCUGUUACCUGAUAUGGGGUUGUGACGCUGUUCUAAGAAAAUGGCCUGUAACAGGCCUGUAAUGGUCGAUACAUGGCUGAUACAUUUCCUUUUAAAAAAUUGACUGUUACAGGGCUGUAACAGCCAAUAUAGGGGCCAUAAUGGCUGUUAUGGCCUGUAUGGUAAUGGCCAUAAGGCUGCUUGUUACGGCGACUGUUUCCAUUAUUGAAUGCCUUGGUGCUCGCUUCUUCAUUGUCCAACUGCAGAAUUGGUAUGGAAUUUCUUUCUUAGGGAGUUUAAGACUCCCUGGGUCACAAGCACAUCCCUGGUUCAUCUUUCAAAAAAAAAAAAAGAGUGCGUCCCUGGCUGAGGAUUUAUUAGUUGGUGCAGCAGUCCAUUCUCCAGCAUGCGAAAGAUUCUGUGGAAUUUGGUGCUGUUUUUGAUCUGUUGGGAGAUUUAGAAAGGAACAAUAAGAUUUUAAGGAUAUCCACAUUUCCACAGAAACUAUGAUUGAGAAAAUUAAAGGAUUGGUCGUGGAUCAGGCAGUGUCAGUGCCGAAAGCGAGGGGCUUGCCUAGGUUUGGGAUAGAGUCUGAUUUGUGUAGUCUUGUGGGAUAGUUUCGUGUUUCUUCCCCUCAGCUAAAAAUUUCACUUAACAGUGGUCUCGGGCCUUUUAUUUGAGCCUGUUUUGUCCUUUCUUCCUGUUGCUGUAUUUUCCUUCUUCAGAUCAUCAGUUUAAUGAAUUAUUCGUCAUUUGCUCAAAAAAACAAAAAAACAAAAA